ensembl:snoRNA U3 Small nucleolar RNA U3
AAGACUAUGCUUUUCAGGGAUCAUUCUAUAGUUUCUAACUUGAGACAUGUGUUUCUAAAGUGUUUGGUCUCGCCAACCAUAAUGAUGAGUUGUGAUUUCCUUCUGAGCGUGAAGCUGAUGGUGGAGAAAUAAUUCACUUCAUAGUUCCUCUGUCAUUGAUGAUUGAUUCUUUACAUUCUUUGGGGAGUAUUGAGGAGGGAAUAUGAUCAGAGUGGU